GACGAACGCUGGCGGCGUGCUUAACACAUGCAAGUCGAACGGUAAGGCUCCAGCUUGCUGGGGUACACGAGUGGCGAACGGGUGAGUAACACGUGGGUGACCUGCCCUGCACUUCGGGAUAAGCCUGGGAAACUGGGUCUAAUACCGGAUAGGACCAUGGUGUGGAUACUGUGGUGGAAAGUUUUUUCGGUGUGGGAUGGGCCCGCGGCCUAUCAGCUUGUUGGUGGGGUAAUGGCCUACCAAGGCGGCGACGGGUAGCCGGCCUGAGAGGGUGGACGGCCACAUUGGGACGGGGACACGGCCAAGACUCCUACGGGAGGAAGCAGUGGGGAAUAUUGCACAAUGGGCGGAAGCCUGAUGCAGCGACGCCGCGUGGGGAUGACGGCCUUCGGGUUGUAAACUCCUUUCACCAUCGACGAAGGGUUUCUGACGGUAGAUGGAGAAGAAGCACCGGCUAACUACGU
rnacentral:rRNA from 1 species